rnacentral:rRNA from 1 species
GAUGAACGCUGGCGGCGUGCUUAACACAUGCAAGUCGAACGGAAAGGCCCAAGCUUGCUUGGGUACUCGAGUGGCGAACGGGUGAGUAACACGUGGGUGAUCUGCCCUGCACUUCGGGAUAGGCCUGGGAAACUGGGUCUAAUACCGGAUAGGACGAUGGUUUGGAUGCCAUUGUGGAAAGUUUUUUCGGUGUGGGAUGAGCUCGCGGCCUAUCAGCUUGUUGGUGGGGUAAUGGCCUACCAAGGCGUCGACGGGUAGCCGGCCUGAGAGGGUGUACGGCCACAUUGGGACUGAGAUACGGCCCAGACUCCUACGGGGGGCAGCAGUGGGGAAUAUUGCACAAUGGGCGCAAGCCUGAUGCAGCGACGCCGCGUGGGGGAUGACGGCCUUCGGGUUGUAAACUCCUUUCGCUAGGGACGAAGCGUUUUUGUGACGGUACCUGGAGAAGAAGCACCGGCUAACUACGUG